rnacentral:lncRNA from 1 species
AGGGUGGGAGGGUCCCCGAAGAGAGGGGAAACUCCAGUCUCUCAGUCCCAUCCGAUAAUCCCAAAAUCAUCACCUCCACUUUCACCCUUAUCUUGCAGAUAGGAUCCCACCUAAGUUUCUUGGGGGAAUAAAGGAAGCAGGACGGUUGGUGGUGAGGUGACGAAGGAACAGUUACCACGGAGAUUGGAAGAGGACAACAAUCUCUGGGGAUGCAGUUGCUCCCAGAUCAGUCUUACCAGGAUGUAGACACAUUCCAGGGGAAAUUUCGCAGCACUCUCUACCGUUAUAUUUCCGAAGAAGCAGCAUCAACUGGUCUUUGCUGAGCUUCUGAGAUCCAAGUUGGAAGCCCUGGAAGGUGCUACAAUAAGGCAAUAGUUUCUAACAGGAUUUUUACUUUUCUAAAAAAAUAAGAAUUUGUUCCAUGUUUCUUAAAAUA